UACGUAGGGCGCAAGCGUUGUCCGGAAUUAUUGGCGUAAAGAGCUCGUAGGCGGUUUGUCGCGUCUGCUGUGAAAUCCCGAGGCUCAACCUCGGGCUUGCAGUGGGUACGGGCAGACUAGAGUGCGGUAGGGGAGAUUGGAAUUCCUGGUGUAGCGGUGGAAUGCGCAGAUAUCAGGAGGAACACCGAUGGCGAAGGCAGAUCUCUGGGCCGUAACUGACGCUGAGGAGCGAAAGCAUGGGGAGCGAACAGG
rnacentral:rRNA from 1 species